rnacentral:lncRNA from 1 species
GAUAGCAUGCACCAAAUGACAAGAUUUUCAAGUCUGGCCAACCUAUCUUCUAAAUAAUAUACCUAACUUAAAACCUAACUUAUAAACUUAUAAAUAAUGUAAGAGUGUUAUAUUAUAUAGGGAUACGACUGUUUACAAGGGUGGAUAGUGAGAGGACAAGGGGGAAUGGUUUUAAACUGAGACAGGGGAGGUUUAGGUUGGAUGUUAGGAGGAAGAUUUUCCCCCAGAGGGUGGUGACGCACUGAACAGGUUGCCCAAGGAGGCUGUGGAUGCCCCAUCCCUGCAGGCAUUCAAGGCCAGGCUGGAUGUGGCUCUGGGCAGCCUGGGCUGCUGGUUGGCGACCCUGCACAUAGCAGGGGGUUGGAACUGGAUGAGCAUUGUGGUCCUUUUCAACCCAGGCCAUUCUGUGAUCUAUGAUUCUAUGAAAUAAGGCUCUAAAGAAGCUGAAACUGGCCAAGUUAUUAAGUGGUGCUCAGGGAGAUGAUUAUAUUCACUUCAAAAUACUCUAUGCUCCAAACUACUGAAAGUGUAUAUACUUAAGGAUUAAUGGAAUUUACUUUUGUCUUUCUUAAAGAAGAAAAAAG